rnacentral:rRNA from 1 species
AUUGAACGCUGGCGGCAGGCCUAACACAUGCAAGUCGAGCGGAUGAGGGAAGCUUGCUUCCUGAUUUAGCGGCGGACGGGUGAGUAAUGCCUAGGAAUCUGCCUAGUGGUGGGGGAUAACGUUCGGAAACGGACGCUAAUACCGCAUACGUCCUACGGGAGAAAGUGGGGGAUCUUCAGACCUCACGCUAACAGAUGAGCCUAGGUCGGAUUAGCUAGUAGGUGAGGUAAUGGCUCACCUAGGCGACGAUCCGUAACUGGUCUGAGAGGAUGAUCAGUCACACUAGAACUGAGACACGGUCCAGACUCCUACGGGAGGCAGCAGUGGGGAAUAUUGGACAAUGGGCGAAAGCCUGAUCCAGCCAUGCCGCGUGUGUGAAGAAGGUCUUCGGAUUGUAAAGCACUUUAAGUUGGGAGGAAGGGUAUUCACCUAAUACGUGGGUACUUUGACGUUACCAACAGAAUAAGCACCGGCUAACUCUGUGCCAGCAGCCGCCGUAACAC